rnacentral:rRNA from 1 species
UCUCUUGACGUUAGCAACAGAAGAAGCACCGGCUAACUCCGUGCCAGCAGCCGCGGUAAUACGGAGGGUGCGAGCGUUAAUCGGAAUUACUGGGCGUAAAGCGCAUGCAGGUGGUUCAUUAAGUCAGAUGUGAAAGCCCGGGGCUCAACCUCGGAACUGCAUUUGAAACUGGUGAACUAGAGUACUGUAGAGGGGGGUAGAAUUUCAGGUGUAGCGGUGAAAUGCGUAGAGAUCUGAAGGAAUACCAGUGGCGAAGGCGGCCCCCUGGACAGAUACUGACACUCAGAUGCGAAAGCGUGGGGAGCAAACAGGAUUAGAUACCCUGGUAGUCCACGCCGUAAACGAUGUCUACUUGGAGGUUGUGGCCUUGAGCCGUGGCUUUCGGAGCUAACGCGUUAAGUAGACCGCCUGGGGAGUACGGUCGCAAGAUUAAAACUCAAAUGAAUUGACGGGGGCCCGCACAAGCGGUGGAGCAUGUGGUUUAAUUCGAUGCAACGCGAAGAACCUUACCUACUCUUGACAUCCAGAGAAGCCAGCGGAGACGCAGGUGUGCCUUCGGGAGCUCUGAGACAGGUGCUGCAUGGCUGUCGUCAGCUCGUGUUGUGAAAUGUUGGGUUAAGUCCCGCAACGAGCGCAACCCUUAUCCUUGUUUGCCAGCGAGUAAUGUCGGGAACUCCAGGGAGACUGCCGGUGAUAAACCGGAGGAAGGUGGGGACGACGUCAAGUCAUCAUGGCCCUUACGAGUAGGGCUACACACGUGCUACAAUGGCGCAUACAGAGGGCAGCAAGCUAGCGAUAGUGAGCGAAUCCCAAAAAGUGCGUCGUAGUCCGGAUUGGAGUCUGCAACUCGACUCCAUGAAGUCGGAAUCGCUAGUAAUCGUAGAUCAGAAUGCUACGGUGAAUACGUUCCCGGGCCUUGUACACACCGCCCGUCACACCAUGGGAGUGGGCUGCAAAAGAAGUGGGUAGUUUAACCUUUCGGGGAGGACGCUCACCACUUUGUGGUUCAUGACUGGGGUGAAGUCGUAACAAGGUAGCCCUAGGGGAACCUGGGGCUGGAUCACCUCCUUAU